GCAAACAAUAUGCUCUGUAAAGAACAAGCGGUUGUGAAGUGGAUGCUAUACAUAGAGACUGUGUAGGAUUUGAUAUUUUAAUCAAAAUUGAUAUACGGAAAACAGAAAACCGUCCAUGUGGAUAGGGAGUGGAAAUUAUGCAGAACUCGACAAAUGGUGUAUGAGCGCCAAAAAAGAAGAGGAAGAGAGUUCACCGAACGACCUUAAAUGACUCCACAUCAGUCAGGAUGCAGUGUUUGUGCACAUGCUGUGUCUCACCCAGCUCGAUCGUUCACAUGUGUGGAGAUGAAAGGCGAGGCAGAGAAACGCUUUCAUAUGCCAAAGGAAGCAUUUCAUUGCACGCUGUGCAAAAACAACAAGACUACAUUUGUGUGUGUGCGCAUCACACUUCAUUAUUUGAGCCACCCAGACAGAAAAAGAGCCAGUCAAGAAGGACAAGGUUGCAUCACCAUCCACAGGCUAAAUAUAUAUAUCAUACGGGUCAUUCCCAGUUACAAAAGUUCAAAAGUUUGGAUCAGUACGGUUUUGUUUGU